rnacentral:rRNA from 1 species
GAUGAACGCUGGCGGCGUGCCUAAUACAUGCAAGUCGAACGAAACUUCUUUAUCACCGAGUGCUUGCACUCACCGAUAAAGAGUUGAGUGGCGAACGGGUGAGUAACACGUGGGCAACCUGCCCAAAAGAGGGGGAUAACACUUGGAAACAGGUGCUAAUACCGCAUAACCAUAGUUACCGCAUGGUAACUAUGUAAAAGGUGGCUAUACUACCGCUUUUGGAUGGGCCCGCGGCGCAUUAGCUAGUUGGUGGGGUAAAGGCUUACCAAGGCAAUGAUGCGUAGCCGAAUUGAGAGGUUGAUCGGCCACAUUGGGACUGAGACACGGCCCAAACUCCUACGGGAGGCAGCAGUAGGGAAUCUUCCACAAUGGGCGAAAGCCUGAUGGAGCAACGCCGCGUGGGUGAAGAAGGUCUUCGGAUCGUAAAACCCUGUUGUUAGAGAAGAAAGUGCGUGAGAGUAACUGUUCACGUUUCGACGGUAUCUAACCAGAAAGCCACUGCUAACUACGUG